rnacentral:lncRNA from 1 species
GUUCUUAAGAAAUGUUGCUCAUUUUCCAUAUGAGAAUUCUGCCUCCUAUCACUAAAACAGGUGUAAACUGUUGAGUCUAUUCCUUCUCAGAUGUAAAGCCACAGAAAGUAAACACAGACUCUGACCAAUAUUUUUGGAGCUGUAUGAACGUCUAAUGGUGCAGCCAAGGACUGGACCACCUGCUGCCCAAGGACAUCUGUUAAGCUAUAGAGUUGAACUAACUUCCAUCAUGCAAAAGAGAGAUUGGACUGCUCACUUUCCUCCAGUGACUGGAAAAUGGUUACCAAGUGGGGGGGAAUUGGCAUAUGUGAUCUGUUUCUACUGUGCUGCUUGACUAGGUACUGAUAAUUCAGCAAUCUGACAGGCUAUGGCUUGGGAGAACAGCACAGUCAUCUUAGAUUAUCUCUUUUAGCCUAAAACACAACAAGAGAAAUAUAAGAAAUUGUGACUGAAGUGAAAAUAAAAUAAAAUAAGUAAAAGCA